CUUUGACCAAAGAAGUGCUGGAACCUAUCCUGGGGACAUACAGAGAGGGACAGUUUUAUUUUAGGAUCCUGAGGACAUUUGAUAGGAAAACAUCCUCUUUCUUGUCCAGCUCUGGUAUGUAUGUGAGUGAAUACAUUAGUUAUUAUUUUGAAAUAAUAGGAAAACAUAAUAUAAGAAAGAAUAAAUUUUCGUGCUUCUAUCAUAUUUCUUUUAUAAAGUUGGUUGGGGCAGGGUCUUUGUGGAGUGCUCUUUGACCCAAUAAUUCCACUUGUAGAAAUGUGUCCUUAGGAAAUAUAAUUGUUUUAGGAGAAAUAAUUGGCUUGUACAAGGCUGUGCAUCUUUGCACCGCUUUGAAGAGUGAAAAACUAUGAAUGUCCCAAGUGUCUUGAAAUAGGCACUUGGCUAAGAAAUUAAGGUAUGUCUACACAUUAAAACAUUAUUUGACUCUUGAAAAUGUUGAUGGGCAACUGCACUUAUUUACAUGGAAAAAAUUCAGCAUACAAUAUUAAGUGGAAAAGCUAAUUACAUGACUAUAUACAUACUAUAUCCCAUUUUUGAGAAAUACAAAAUAUUGAAAGACUAGAUACCAAAAUAAGAAUAGCUAUGAGUAAUAAGAUAAUGCAUGAAUUUAAUAUUUAAAUCUUUUUCCUUAUCUAUAUUUUCUUAUCUGUAAUGUAUGUUGAUUUUUUUUGUGUAAUUGUUGGGAAAGAAAAAUGUUGGAUAUAGGCUAGGUUAGAAAUGAAGAUGAUAGAAUGGGAGAAUGGGCAGGGUUUAUAUGGAUAUGUUUGGAGCACAUAUUGAGUGGGAAAAUAUUUAGACCAAAAAGGGAGAUGUGUUAAAAUGAGUUGUCAGGAUGUGGAUAAUAAGAGUCCUUAUAUCAUAGGAUUAGAUGAGGUACUAUGAGUAAAUUGCUAAAGUAGUGCUGGAACAUAGCAGUUGAUUGAUAAAAAUGAACACCCUGAAUUAGCUAAAAGACAGGGUGGAUCAUUUUUGGUUCACCUUUUUUCUAAGGUGUCGUUCUGCCAUACACUAGUGUUAUUUCUUUCCCUGGCUUUAUUGAAAUAUAAUUGAUAUAUAACAUUGUAUAAGUUUAAGGUGUAACACUUGUUGAUUGAUACAUUUAUCUAUUUUCUCUAUUUUUUAUUAAAAUAUAGUUGAUUCACGAUGUUGUCUUAGUUUCUGGUGUACAGCAUAGUGAUUCAGAUAUAUAUAUAUACACAUAUCUAUACAUAUAUAUAUAUCAAGAUGAUUAGCUACCACCUCCAUCUUGUCACAUAAUUACCAUUUCUUUUUUGUGUGAUAAUAUUUAAAAAUCUAUUCUCUUAGCAACAUUCAAAUUUACAAUACAGUAUUGCUAGCUAUAAUCACCAUGCUGUACAUUAGAUCCCCAGAACUUCUUAAUCUUAUAACUGGAGGUUUGUACCAUCUGACCAAUAUCUCCCCAUUUCCCCCACCCCCUUGUCCCUGGUAACUACCAUUCCACUCUCUGUUUCUCCAAGUUUGUCUUCUUAGAUUCCACAUAUAAGUGAUAUACAGUACUUAUCUUUCUCUGUCUGACUUAUUUCACUUAGCGUAAAAGCCCUCAAUUUUCACUGAAGUUGUUAAAAUAGCAGGGAACUGGCAGAGGGUUGAGGAGGGGUCAUCAGGCUCACCCUACUGAAGGAAUGUUUAAAUCAAGAGAAUCUGUGUUGUUGCCUUGGGUAUCGUAUUUAAUGUUGCAGAUUGCAAUUUAGAGCCACCAAAGCAAUAUUAUCCAUCUCAUGGAAUUAGUAUUAAUUUUAAUUUGUUUAGUUUUGUUAGCUUGAUUUAUUCUUAAUUUGUGAGUUUGUUUUAUACUUUGUAUGAGAGUGAAGGGUGGCAGAAUAUGCCACCCCAAAGUAUGUCACUUUGGCAUAAGGAUUAUUUUGUGCUAAAAGCACUUGAAAAAUAGCAGGUACAAGAAGAGUAGUGUGACCUCCUUUUCUCCUGAAAACAGGAGAUUAAAAUCCAAUGUGAGAUGCCCUUCCUAUACCAGGAGGAAAGGCAUUAUUAUCACCAGAGAUGGGAGUUGAGAGAAUUCUGUAAAACAUACCUUGUUAAAAUAAGUUUUAUCUUCCUGUAGUCUCCACAUAUUUUAUGCUCUUUAAACUUUUAAAAUUGAAGUAUAGUCAGUUUACAAUGUUGUGUCAAUUUCUGGUGUAUAGCAUAAUGUUUCAGUCACACAUACACAUACAUAUAUUCCUUUUCAUAGUCUCCACAUAUUUUACUUACUUUUACACAAUUGCCUGUCUUCCUUUAAUAUAAUAUAUAAGCAUUUAGGUUUUGCCAUUCAUUGAGGUCUCCAUUUCCUUAUGAAGUCUCCUGUGUCAUAAAACUUACAUUAAAUAAAUGUGUGUGCUUUUCUUUUUCCUAAUCUGUCUUUUGUCACAGAGUCCCACCCCAGAACCAAAGAUGGAUAGAGAAAAGAUGUUUUUCUCUUCUACAAGAGCUACAAGUAAAGUCAUUUAUGCCUAGUUUUAGGUCUGUCUGUAGAGGGCAGCACAACCCAUAGGAAAGGAAGAGGACGUCCAUCACCUACAGAAUAUUUAGUAGAAACUGAAGUGAGCCUUCCUUCAAGGAGAUGUGGGACCUGAACCAGUCACAAGGUGGCGGUAGAGGCAAGACGGAAACCCAAACCAAAUCUUCCACUACUAUCCUGUCUUCAGAAAAGCUACUUAAUUCCAUUCUUUUUUGGCUCUGGGGAAGUAGUGUCUAUGGAGCAGAAAUGAAGGGUAGAAUAGAAAAGUGGGCAUGUGAAGGGAGAAAGCUAAAUCAAGAGAGUGGCUGAGGGGCAAGGGAGUGGGAAAGGUGCACACCUGUGGGGGAGGGAUGGAGUGAUGAAAGGGUCCAGAGGGCAAGGUGGGUGGUGUGCAGAAGACCUAAAUGGGAAACAUUUGAUAGCCAGAUUUCUCACUCUGGAGAGAGGGCACUUAUGUGUCAGUAUCUACCAGCCUCCAUUCUCUCUUGUGUGUCUGCCUGUAGACAUAAAUCUAGGCAAAGGAGGAAGGAAAUUGCUCCAGACAAUGUGAUAAGCUGGAGACAGGGGUGGGGAUAGGGAUGUUGAAGUCACAAUGCAGGGUCUAGAAGCAACUCAGUUCCCUCUCUGAGACUUUGUUCUCAUCUCUUCUUACUUGGGUGCUGGAAAAAAAAUACUGUACUUCUGAAGAAACAGUGGGAAUGAGCUUAAGGGAGGGAAAUGCCAGAGGAGAAAUAUUUGAAAAUUAAGACCCUAAAUCAGGAAAGAGACAUACUGAUACCAUUAUAUCCUGAGUGUUGACAUGGAUAUCUAUGGAGACUUGUAUUAAAGCUCUGUGUACUA